AUUGAACGCUGGCGGCAUGCCUUACACAUGCCAGUCGAACGGCAGCACGGGUGCUUGCCCCUGGUGGCGAGUGGCGAACGGGUGAGUAAUACAUCGGAACAUGUCCUGUAGUGGGGGAUAGCCCGGCGAAAGCCGGAUUAAUACCGCAUACGAUCUACGGAUGAAAGCGGGGGCCCUUCGGGCCUCGCGCUAUAGGGUUGGCCGAUGGCUGAUUAGCUAGUUGGUGGGGUAAAGGCCUACCAAGGCGACGAUCAGUAGCUGGUCUGAGAGGACGACCAGCCACACUGGGACUGAGACACGGCCCAGACUCCUACGGGAGGCAGCAGUGGGGAAUUUUGGACAAUGGGCGAAAGCCUGAUCCAGCAAUGCCGCGUGUGUGAAGAAGGCCUUCGGGUUGUAAAGCACUUUUGUCCGGAAAGAAAUCCUUGGCCCUAAUACGGUCGGGGGAUGACGGUACCGGAAGAAUAAGCACCGGCUAACUACGUG
rnacentral:rRNA from 1 species